rnacentral:rRNA from 1 species
UGGGGGAUAUUGCACAAUGGGCGAAAGCCUGAUGCAGCGACGCCGCGUGGGGGAUGAAGGCCUUCGGGUUGUAAACUUCUUUUGCUCUGAACAAGGCGCACCAUGGGGUGUGUUGAGUGUAGGGGUUGAUUAGCGCCGGCUAACUACGUGCCAGCAGCCGCGGUAAUACGUAGGGCGCGAGCGUUGUCCGGAAUUAUUGGGCGUAAAGGGCUUGUAGGUGGCUGGUUGCGUCUGUCGUGAAAGCUCAUGGCUUAACUGUGGGUUUGCGGUGGGUACGGGCUGGCUUGAGUGCAGUAGGGGAGGCUGGAAUUCCUGGUGUAGCGGUGGAAUGCGCAGAUAUCAGGAGGAAUACCGGUGGCGAAGGCGGGUCUCUGGGCUGUUACUGACACUGUGGAGCGAAAGCAUGGGGAGCGAACAGG